AUGCUACUGCUCUGCAGUGCUGCUCCAACACGUGUUCACCUGACCCCCUCCGGCUGGGGAGGCUGCUGGGGCAGAAAUAAGGAAAAAACUGGAAACCAUGUGCGAGCUGAGUGGGAUAAAGGGGCAGAAGUUGAGAUUGCAACGGCCCCAGUCCUUCCUGUUUCUCCAAGCCUGCUUGCAAUGCAUUUCCUUGCAAGUGAAGCAGUGUUCCCAGAGCUGGAACGCGUUUUCAUCCUGUCCGAUGCUGCUGCCCAUGCUGGUAACCUGCUGGCCUCACCAUGUGUUGGACCAUACCUGGACAGUGAUUUGGGCAGAACUCUGGAGGAAGGACGAUUGAAACACCCCAGCAGAAGAAAUGUGAGACUCCUGGAUUGCAGCAGCAAGCAAUUCCAGGUGGUUCAGGUUAGCCUGCUUACAGCACACACAGCCUUCUGCCACCGAAUCCAUGGCACAUCUGCUGCAGGAGAAGCGUGCUUGGUUCUGCGCCUUGGCCUGAUUCCAGGAGGGUGAAGUAGACCUAGAGGAGAGCCUGGAGUCUCCUCUGGCAAAGAG
rnacentral:lncRNA from 1 species